rnacentral:rRNA from 1 species
UAGGGAAUCUUCGGCAAUGGACGAAAGUCUGACCGAGCAACGCCGCGUGAGUGAAGAAGGUUUUCGGAUCGUAAAACUCUGUUGUUAGAGAAGAACAAGGGUGGGAGUAACUGUUCACCCCUUGACGGUAUCUAACCAGAAAGCCACGGCUAACUACGUGCCAG